CAGAAAAAACCACCAUGCAUUUGCAGCAUCAGUUGUUCCCACGUUUUAGUGUGUGUGUGUGUGUGUGUACCUUUAAUUAAUCCAUCCUUCUCAGAAAGACUGCUGCAGGGGGUUGGAGUGUUGGUGGUUUGUCAAGUGAGGUAGUAGGGGGUGAAAUAAAGACAGAAAGGGAGAGAGAGAGGGGCGGAGGUGUGAAUUUACCAUUACCAAUACUGACCACAUUGUACAAUGACACACACAUGAACAAAGCAAGGUGGGACUUGCCACUCAUGCUGUGAAUGUAACCCACAGUGAGAUACAAAACCUGACACUUCCCCUGCCUUCCAGACAGACUCAUCGCCACGGUUACCAGACCAAUCAGUAGACCUCCGACCCGUCUCCGUAGUUUAGUGCCUAGCAGAGUAGCUAUCUGUCUCUGUUGGUCUGUCGAACAGUCGGUACAUCAAUCUGUCCAUCCGUCCAGCCAGUUAGUAAGCCAGUCAAUUAGUCAGUCAGCCAGCCAGUCAGUCAGUCAGCCAGCAUGUCCGUGUUCGAAUCCAGGACCCUCUCUCUGGCCCUCCUGAUCACCAUGUGUGUGUACCUCACCUCUGUGUCUGCUAACUAUCGUCGGCCAACUAAGGUAACCACAAGUUGCUGCACAAGAGUGUCUGACUCUCACAUCAAAUUUAGACUGCAAGGAUUCCACAUCCAAAACGCCAUGCCACCCUGUGUUGAUGCCAUCGUCUUCUACACAGUGAAAGGAGGGAAGAUCUGCUCUGAUCCCAAAGCACCCUGGGUCAACAAAAGAAAGCAAUAUUUGAAUGUGAUGAAAAAGCAAAGAAGACAUGUUUGACCAUGACUGGAACCCUCUCCACUGUAAACACGCCUCCUCACCAUCUCCUGCAUCCCCCUCCCCUCCUCACCAUCUCCUGCAUCCUCCUCCCAAGAUCCUCUAUCAGCAUACUUCAUUUUUCUGCUUAUUUUUUGUCUGUCUGGUCCUUAAGAUUAUUUUGUUGUGUUUUAAAUUGAUAGAAUUUCAUUAAAAUACAGUCUGUUGU